GGUUCAGGUGAUUCUCCUGCCUCAGCCUCCUGAGUAGCUGGGAUUGCAGGCGCCCAUCACCACGCCUGGCUAAUUUUUGUGUGUGUUUAGUACAGACGGGGUUUCACCACGUUGGCCAGACUGGUCUUGAACUCCUGACCUCAGGUGAUCCGCCUGCCUCGGCCUCCCAAAGUGUUGGGAUUACAGGCGUGAGCCACCACGCCCAUGCCCAUCCCCAUUUUAUAGACAAGGAUACCAAGGCUCAGAGAGGGGAAGCCACUUGCCAAGGACGCACAGGAGGACACCAGUGAGCAGGACCUCUGGUCUGUCUGGGAGGCCACUGGGCCUCUUCCCAGAGUCUCUGCUUGGUGAGCCAGGAUUUUACACCCGCCUUGGGCCCAGUGGGCUGAGAGGACAUGGGCUGGGGUGUCGGAAGCUGCAGAGCUGAUCCCUCCUGCUUGGCUGGAGGCUUGCAGACCCGGCAGGCAGGCUCGGGAGGCAGCGGGCGACUUGAAAAUGCACUCCCUACCACAGGCUCAAGAGUGACGGCGCCUGUCAGGGACCGGGAGGCAGGGCCUGUCUUUUCCUGCUGUUUUAUUGCCUUCAAAGUCUGGACCAAGUGGUUUCUGGAUGGAGUCACGGUAACCUCACGUCUAUUCAAGCAAUUCGUUCAUUGUUUCAUUUAGUAAAAUACCCACAAAACAAGGAAGAACACCUUGGCGGUGCCUCUGAUCCCCCCAUUUGUCUGCAAAUCGGAAAAGCAUGAUUCCAUCGAUCUCCUGUUUAUUGAGCGCCUACUACAUGCUAGGUCGGAUGGUCUAGUUCAACCCCUCGCAACGCCACAGCUGCUGUCUGUUUCGUAUCUUGUAUUUUUCGCUUGACAGUUUAUCAUGUGCAUUUUCUCGGGUACCAAAGGCCCUUGUAAGAGAUGGUGUCUGGAGAAUGGGUAUCUCAGGGGCCUACCACCUGGCUUACCUCCUCCCAAAUCAGGGUUCCUCUGCACCACCUCCUCUCUGUCCAGCUCCUCCUUCAGGGCCUGGCUCAAUUCUACCUCCUCCACAAAGCCCUCCAUUCCCUCCCCUCCUGGUCAGUGUUGUCUCUUUUGCAGCCACUAGCUCUCUGCCUUGCCUCACCCGGGUCUCCUAUCCCUCUCCUUCUCUCUCAUGGAGUGAUGCCUUUUUUCUUCCUCUACACACAUCAGGUCUGAGCUCAAAGUCACCUUGUCAAAGGCCCUCCCAGGACCACCCUGUGUGAUUAUCCUGUGGGCUUGUUCCUGUGUUUGUCCCUGAGCCCACAGGGUCUGGUGGUUCAGUAGAAGGACUCCUGCAGAAGGUGCUGGAUAAACACUGGAAGAUCUAGAAAUAAAAAUAAAAGAAAGACUGGGCGCGGUGGCUCAGGCCUGUAAUCCCAACACUUUGGGAGGCCGAGGUGGGCGGAUCCCCUGAGGUCAGGAGUUCGAGACUAACCUGGCCAACAUGGCGAAACCCCAUCUCUACUAAAAAUACAAAAAUUAGCCAGGCAUGGU
rnacentral:lncRNA from 1 species